AACGUACGCUGGCGGCACGCUUAACACAUGCAAGUCGAACGAAGUAGCAAUACUUAGUGGCAGACGGGUGAGUAACAUGUGGGUAUCUGCCCUUUGGCCUGGAAUAACACGAGGAAACUUGUGCUAAUACCGGAUAAGUCUUUACGGAGAAAGCUUUAUGCACCAUUGGAUGAGCCCGCACUUGAUUAGUUUGUUGGUGGGGUAAUGGCCUACCAAGACUGUGAUCAAUAGCUGAUUUGAGAGGAUGAUCAGCCACAUUGGGACUGAGACACGGCCCAAACUCCUACGGGAGGCAGCAGUGGGGAAUCUUGCACAAUGGAGGAAACUCUGAUGCAGCGAUGCCGCGUGAGUGAAGAAGGCCCUUGGGUUGUAAAGCUCUUUCGUCGGGGAAGAAAAUGACUGUACCCGAAUAAGAAGGUCCGGCUAACUUCGUGCCAGCAGCCGCGGUAAUACGAAGGGACCUAGCGUAGUUCGGAAUUACUGGGCUUAAAGAGUUCGUAGGUGGUUGAAAAAGUUAGUGGUGAAAUCCCAGAGCUUAACUCUGGAACUGCCAUUAAAACUUUUCAGCUAGAGUAUGAUAGAGGAAAGCAGAAUUUCUAGUGUAGAGGUGAAAUUCGUAGAUAUUAGAAAGAAUACCAAUUGCGAAGGCAGCUUUCUGGAUCAUUACUGACACUGAGGAACGAAAGCAUGGGUAGCGAAGAGGAUUAGAUACCCUCGUAGUCCAUGCCGUAAACGAUGUGUGUUAGACGUUGGAAAUUUAUUUUCAGUGUCGCAGCGAAAGCGAUAAACACACCGCCUGGGGAGUACGACCGCAAGGUUAAAACUCAAAUGAAUUGACGGGGACCCGCACAACUAGUGGAGCAUGUGGUUUAAUUCGAAGAUACGCGCAGAACCUUACCAACACUUGACAUGUUCGUCGCGACUCUAAGAGAUUAGAGUUUUCGGUUCGGCCGGACGAAACACAGGUGCUGCAUGGCUGUCGUCAGCUCGUGUCGUGAGAUGUUGGGUUAAGUCCCGCAACGAGCGCAACCCUCACUUUUAGUUGCCAUCAUUAAGUUGGGCACUCUGAAAGAACUGCCGGUGAUAAGCUGGAGGAAGGUGGGGAUGACGUCAAGUCCUCAUGGCCCUUACGUGUUGGGCUACACACGUGCUACAACGGUAUCUACAACAGGAAGCAAGACUGCGAGGUCAAGCAAAUCCUUAAAAGAUACCUCAGUUCGGAUUGCACUCUGCAACUCGAGUGCAUGAAGCUGGAAUUACUAGUAAUCGUGGAUCAGCGUGCCACGGUGAAUGCGUUCCCGGGUCU
rnacentral:rRNA from 1 species